rnacentral:siRNA from 1 species
UAGAACAUUUGAAUUGGGUCCA